rnacentral:rRNA from 1 species
UACAGAGGUCUCAAGCGUUGUUCGGAUUCAUUGGGCGUAAAGGGCGCGUAGGCGGCGGGGUAAGUCGGGUGUGGAAUCUCAGAGCUCAACUCUGAAACUGCACUCGAUACUGCUCUGCUUGAGGACUGGAGAGGAGACUGGAAUUCACGGUGUAGCAGUGAAAUGCGUAGAUAUCGUGAGGAAGACCAGUGGCGAAGGCGGGUCUCUGGACAGUUCCUGACGCUGAGGCGCGAAGGCCAGGGGAGCAAAGCGGGAU